CUCGGUCAUCCAUCUUAACAUGGGCUAAUAUUGACAUAGUGUUGUCAGAAUACACAGACAACUAAACAGCCAAAGAGUUUACAAAAAAUAAAUUCAUGAUUCUUCAAAACAACUGCAAAAGGUUACAAGUAUCAAAACUCUUAGGUAGAUGCACUGCAUUAAAAUAAACUGUGCACAUAAGUUAAGAGGCAAAAAAAAAUUUGCUACCAAAACUUCACAUUUCAAACAGUUUAUUGUAAACUGAUGAACAGGGUUGUCAUUUCACAUCAGCUUAACUGUUUGCAUUGACUGAAAAAAAAUUGAGGUGGCUAGUUUACUUCGCAUGCACAAAAUGUACUGCUUAACAGAAGAGUCAGCUCAUUUCAAAUGGCAAAAAUUUAAACUGGAAUCUAAUCAUCUUCAAUCGUUUUCCAUUAUUCUUUCCCAUCUGUUCUAAUCAACAGGCAAACUAAAAAUGCCUCAUUUAAUAUAUAUCUUUCUGCACUGUUAAAGUGCAACUAAGAUAACUAGGGCCAAUAAACCAAUCAAUCCAUCAACGCCCAUGAAGGCUCAUCUGAAACUGCUUCUUGAUAAAGUGGACAGCAAAUCUGAACAGCUGUACAAUACAGAUAUGCUUAGCACUAGAUAUUUAGUGUGACUGUGGCAAGGUAAUAUUGGUGAUGACAGGGAUUGUGAAGUGGAUGAAAGACAGAUCAGAGGAAAGCUUUUUAAUUAUUGCCCUCUCCUGCUUCUUCAUCUUGCUGGUCACUCGUCCACAGAGUGAGGUUAUCUCGAAGUAACUGCAUGAUGAGAGUGGAGUCCUUGUAGGAAUCCUCAUUUAGUGUGUCCAGCUCUGCUAUGGCAUCAUCAAAGGCUUGUUUGGCUAAAAGGCAAGCUUGCUCAGGAGCAUUCUGGAUUUCAUAGUAGAACACCGAGAAAUUGAGUGCCAGCCCAAGCCUAAUUGGGUGGGUAGGCUGCAUGUGCUCUUUGCUGAUUUCAAAGGCCUCUUUAUAGGCAGCUUCUGAGGCUUCCACAACACUGUUCUUCUUCUCUCCAGCAGCAACUUCUGCCAAAUAGCGGUAAUAAUCUCCCUUCAUUUUCAGAUAAAAAACCUUGCUCUCAUACUGGAAGUCAUUGCAGUUCUUGAUCAAGUACUUAUCGAGGAGAGCCAAAACAUCAUUGCAGACUGUCUCAAGUUCCUUUUCUAUCUUCUCCCUAUAGGCUUUAACCUUCUCCAGCUUCUUCUCGUUCCCAUCAGCCAUAGUCUUCUGCUCUAUGCUGCUGAUGACACGCCAGGAGGAUCGUCUAGCUCCAACUACGUUCUUGUAGGCUACAGACAGCAGGUUUCUGUCCUCAUUUGAGAGAGGCUCAUUCAGCUCAGUUACCGACUUCAUGGCCGAGGCCAUGUCGUCGUAUCUCUCCGCCUGCUCGGCCAGGCGGGCUCGCUGCAGCAGCUGCUCUCGGUCCCCCAUGGCCGCUUCCGUGGUGGCUGCCGGGCUGGGCACUGAGCCCUUCAGACGUUGAGCUCUUUAAGAAAUCGAGCGGCCGUACGUCAAGAUCGUCGCUAAGGAACGGCGCCGCGCGACGCGCUGCUGUGCGCAGGGCUGGCACAGAGCGGUGCGCGCCCGGGGCUCCGUGCAGCGCUCAGCGCUCCGCGCCUGCCGUGCCCGCUGCCGUGCUGCAGUGCAUUGACAGCGGAUCGCAGAGCGUUUCUAAAACCACUCACUCGCCCACUGAGCCAGAGAGCGCGCGUUAAUCCAGCAAAUACAUGUGGGUAUGUCCACGAAAACACUGUCAGUGAUUUUUCCCCCCCUUUUUUUUUUAAAUUGAAGCUUCUGUAUAAUGGCUAUUUACCAAUCUAAAGCAGCCCAGAAAUUCCCAGCUCUGAAUGCACGCGGUGAUACGUAACAGCACUGACCUAACAGCCAGGGGGAGGCUGGAGCCUUCAGCUCAGCCAGCACGGCAGCAUAGCACUCAGAGCCGCUGGUUUGUCCAGGUUGCCCUCCCAGAAGGCUCUGCACAGCACCCUAUUUGCUGAGGGCUGCGUGAACCUUUUCUCUAUGGGGAAUUUACACGCCACCACUCCAUGGGCUGCUGGUCAGACUCUGGCUCGCAGUGGUGGAACCACAUCUCAUCUCCAGGAAACUCACCUUCAGCCUUGUAUUGGUUCAAUGGGUCCUACUCAGACUGCAUUCUUUCUGUUCCUGUGUGAGCAUUUGUAGGACACACCUGAUGCAAGCUUUGUGGUAUUCCAACGCAUUGAAGCCAGCAUUCACCUCCACACACGGUUCCCUGGUCCUAAUGUGCUGAUUCACACAGGCAGCAGUGCUAACGGGAAAGCAAAAGGAAAUGCUUUUCACUGUGACAGAGGCAUCGCUGUACAUGAAUGUGUAUCUUCAGCAGCAGGGAAAGGCAGUACCCAGGCUCC
rnacentral:lncRNA from 1 species